rnacentral:rRNA from 1 species
UACGUAGGUGGCAAGCGUUAUCCGGAAUUACUGGGCGUAAAGGGUGCGUAGGUGGUUUCUUAAGUCAGAGGUGAAAGGCUACGGCUCAACCGUAGUAAGCCUUUGAAACUGGGGAACUUGAGUGCAGGAGAGGAGAGUGGAAUUCCUAGUGUAGCGGUGAAAUGCGUAGAUAUUAGGAGGAACAUCAGUUGCGAAGGCGGCUCUCUGGACUGUAACUGACACUGAGGCACGAAAGCGUGGGGAGCAAACAGG